rnacentral:rRNA from 1 species
CAUCCGCCGCGGGAAAACCAGCAGCCCAAGUGGUGGUCGCGCUUAUUGGGCCUAAAGCGCUCGUAGCCUGGCCGGUAAGUUCCCCGUGAAAUCGGGUCGCCCAACGAUUCGGCUUGCGGGGAAUACUGUCGGUCUUGGGGCCGGGAGACGCCGAGGGUACUCCGGGGGUAGCGGUGAAAUGCUGUAAUCCUCGGGGGACUACCAGUGGCGAAGGCGCUCGGCGAUAACGGGCCUGACGGUGAGGGGCGAAAGCUGGGGGCGCGAACGGGAUUAGAUACCCCGGUAGUCCCUGUCUCUUAUU